rnacentral:misc_RNA from 1 species
GAUCAUUACUGAGUUUACGCUCUACAACCCUUUGUGAACAUACCUAUAACUGUUGCUUCGGCGGGCAGGGUCUCCGUGACCCUCCCGGCCUCCCGCCCCCGGGCGGGUCGGCGCCCGCCGGAGGAUAACCAAACUCUGAUUUAACGACGUUUCUUCUGAGUGGUACAAGCAAAUAAUCAAAACUUUUAACAACGGAUCUCUUGGUUCUGGCAUCGAUGAAGAACGCAGCGAAAUGCGAUAAGUAAUGUGAAUUGCAGAAUUCAGUGAAUCAUCGAAUCUUUGAACGCACAUUGCGCCCGCCAGCAUUCUGGCGGGCAUGCCUGUUCGAGCGUCAUUUCAACCCUCAAGCUCUGCUUGGUGUUGGGGCCCUACGGCUGACGUAGGCCCUCAAAGGUAGUGGCGGACCCUCCCGGAGCCUCCUUUGCGUAGUAACUUUACGUCUCGCACUGGGAUCCGGAGGGACUCUUGCCGUAAAACCCCCAAUUUUCCAAAGGUUGACCUCGGAUCAGGUAGGAAUACCCGCUGAACUUAAGCAUAUCAAUAAGCGGAGGAAAAGAAACCAACAGGGAUUGCCUCAGUAACGGCGAGUGAAGCGGCAACAGCUCAAAUUUGAAAUCUGGCCCCAGGCCCGAGUUGUAAUUUGCAGAGGAUGCUUUUGGUGAGGUGCCUUCCAAGUUCCCUAGAACGGGACGCCAGAGAGGGUGAGAGCCCCGUACAGUUGGACACCGAGCCUUUGUAAAGCUCCUUCGACGAGUCGAGUAGUUUGGGAAUGCUGCUCAAAAUGGGAGGUAUAUUUCUUCUAAAGCUAAAUACCGGCCAGAGACCGAUAGCGCACAAGUAGAGUGAUCGAAAGAUGAAAAGCACUUUGAAAAGAGGGUUAAACAGCACGUGAAAUUGUUAAAAGGGAAGCGCUUGUGACCAGACUUGCGUCCGGUGAAUCACCCAGCUCUCGCGGCUGGGGCACUUCGCCGGCUCAGGCCAGCAUCAGCUCGCUGUCGGGGACAAAAGCUUCAGGAACGUAGCUCUCUUCGGGGAGUGUUAUAGCCUGUUGCAUAAUACCCUUCGGCGGGCUGAGGUACGC